rnacentral:snRNA from 1 species
CUACUUACCUGGCAGGGGAGCCAUAGACAUAUGUCUAUGGGGGAGACACCCUGAUCAAGAGUGGUUCACCCAGGGCGAGGCUCAGCCAUUGCACUCCGGCGGAGCUGACCUCUGCGAAUUCCCCAAUGUGGGAUCUCGACUGCCUAAUUUCUGGUGUGGGGACUGCGUUCGCGCUCUCCCCUG